UACGUAGGGGGCAAGCGUUGUCCGGAAUCAUUGGGCGUAAAGGGCGUGUAGGCGGCUCGAUAAGUCCGCUGUGAAAGUCCAGGGCUCAACCCCGGAAUGCCGGUGGAAACUGUCAAGCUUGAGUCCGGAAGAGGCGAGUGGAAUUCCUGGUGUAGCGGUGAAAUGCGCAGAUAUCAGGAGGAACACCAAUGGCGAAGGCAGCUCGCUGGGACGGUACUGACGCUGAGACGCGAAAGCGUGGGGAGCAAACAGG
rnacentral:rRNA from 1 species